rnacentral:tRNA from 1 species
GGGGAUUUAGCUCAAUGGUAGAGCACUUGCCUAGGAAGCGCAAGGCCCUGGGUUCGAUCCCCAGCUCCA